CGAUAGGCUUCACCAACAGUGAGUUAUUGUUCAGUGCAACUUCACCGGUGGCGCGCACCAGCUCGCCGUUCAAGGGAAUAUCGAGGUGUAAGCGCCCACUGACAUUACCACCAAUCUGCAGUUCGUCCAGGGCCGAGCCCAAUGAAUCGUGCAGCGGAGUCUGUUUGAAAUAGUCAUGGAUUUCCCCCCCCUGGCCCGCGACCUCGGCAUCCACCAACAAACGCUCUUUCAGGUAGUCCGGAAUGACGGCACUGACAUUUUUGCCAUCGACUUUACCCAAUUUGGUUUGCGGAGCAUUCAUCCACAGCCCCUCAUUGGCGAAGUCGAGAUCGAUAGCCAGAUCGGUCAACGCCGGCCAAUCCGGUUGGAACUGGAAGGUGGAAU
rnacentral:ncRNA from 1 species